GGUGGCCUAGUGAAUAGAGCGUCCGCCUCGGAAGCGGGAAGUCGCGGGUUCGACCACCGGCAGAGUCA